ACUGCUCAGUAACACGUGGACAACCUACCCUUGGGUUCGGCAUAAUCCUGGGAAACUGGGGAUAAUACCGGAUAGGUCACAGAUGCUGGAAUGCACUGUGGCUCAAAGCUCCGGCGCCCAAGGAUGGGUCUGCGGCCUAUCAGGGUUGUAGUGGGUGUAAUGUACCUACUAGCCUACGACGGGUACGGGUUGUGAGAGCAAGAGCCCGGAGAUGGAUUCUGAGACACGAAUCCAGGCCCUACGGGGUGCAGCAGGCGCGAAAACUUUACAAUGCGGGAAACCGUGAUAAGGGAAUCUCGAGUGCCAGCAUAUAAUGUUGGCUGUCCAGAUGCCUAAAAAGCAUCUGUUAGCAAGGGCCGGGCAAGACCGGUGCCAGCCGCCGCGGUAACACCGGCGGCCCGAGUGGUAACCGCUAUUAUUGGGUCUAAAGGGUCUGUAGCCGGCCAGGUAAGUCCCUUGGGAAAUCUGGCAGCUCAACUGUCAGGCUGCUAGGGGAUACUGUUUGGCUUGGGACCGGGAGAGGUGAGAGGUACCUUGGGGGUAGGGGUGAAAUCUUGUGAUCCUCGGGGGACCACCAGUGGCGAAGGCGUCUCACCAGAACGGGUCCGACGGUAAGGGACGAAAGCUAGGGGCACGAACCGGAUUAGAUACCCGGGUAGUCCUAGCCGUAAACGAUGCUCGCUAGGUGUCAGUCACGGUGCGACCGUGAUUGGUGCCGUAGGGAAGCCGUGAAGCGAGCCACCUGGGAAGUAUGGCCGCAAGGCUGAAACUUAAAGGAAUUGGCGGGGGAGCACUACAACGGGUGGAGCCUGCGGUUUAAUUGGAUUCAACGCCGGG
rnacentral:rRNA from 1 species